rnacentral:rRNA from 1 species
AACGAACGCUGGCGGCAGGCUUAACACAUGCAAGUCGAGCGCCCCGCAAGGGGAGCGGCAGACGGGUGAGUAACGCGUGGGAAUCUACCCAGUUCUACGGAAUAACACAGGGAAACUUGUGCUAAUACCGUAUACGCCCUACGGGGAAGAUUAUCGGAUUGGAUGAGCCCGCGUUGGAUUAGCUAGUUGGUGGGGUAAUGGCCUACCAAGGCGACGAUCCGAUAGCUGGUCUGAGAGGAUGAUCAGCCACACUGGGACUGAGACACGGCCCAGACUCCUACGGGAGGCAGCAGUGGGGGAAUAUUGGAC